CGAGGCUUGGCCAACAGCACUCACUUCCUCUCUUAGCACAUUCUAUGACUCGCUCUCUUUCACUUUGUCCCACUGCCUCAAAGUUGUGUCCUCCGAUUUCUCUACGCAUGGACUUAUCCAUCUUAUUCCUGAGGGCUGCGCUGUCAAAACAACCAUGGGUGUGACUUCCUGUUCGAGCGGAAGUACAAAAACAGAGAUCAGACAACAAUAAAAGUCUCCUAACCUCGCCUCCAUUUUCAACACUCUCCUGUGCUCUUGGCUGAUGUAUGGUCAUUGGGAUUCACACAGUGUCAUUGAUGGGGAGCUUCUCUAACCCACUUUGCAAUGCUUGCAGAGAAAUGACGUAAUAUGCGGAUCACAGAUGAAAUCUCUCUCUCUCUCUCGCUCUCUCUGUCUAUCUGGUGUUUUCGGAAAGAACAAUGGGGCUAAUGCAUUAAGCUUGCUGGUGUCAGUAUCCAAUAAGACGUCUCGCAAUACAUGGCCUUCAAGACGUCAUACGGCAAGGCUGCCACGUUCCAAGACUCACAGUGAAGAUCAAUACAGCUCCCAGGAAAUACAAUUCCAGCCAUAUGCGGUUGACUAUGCACAGCCAGGAGCUUUGUGGUGGUGGCUGUGUCACUUCUAUAAAUAGCAAACAAGGUUCUUACCAGGGCAGGCCACUGUAUGUGUUUAGCCUUGAUUCCCUGCAGCAGGCCACCUACUCCUCCACCUGCUCCCGCUCCUCCUGCUCCUUCUUUCCUCUUGGCCCAGACCAGCUGGUGCUCGAGGAGAAACAGCUGGAAAUCGUCAUAGACCUUCACCCACUCUCUCUUCUCCCAUUCCUGGUCAUCAAAUUCCACGUAUACCUGCAAGACACGACACCGAUGGAUCAACAAACGACAUUUGCAAUCAUGAUGGCCACGUCACUCGAUGGACGGACGGAUAAAUAGAGGGCUGUGUAUCAUUCAAAUGAAAUGGAUGCAUUGCAUAGACAUUUCAAAAUAAAAUACCGUUGUCUUUAAUAAAACACAGGUUGUCACGGGAAUAAAAAGAUUUUGUUGACCAUCAAAA